rnacentral:rRNA from 1 species
UACGUAGGGGGCAAGCGUUGUCCGGAAUCAUUGGGCGUAAAGAGCGUGUAGGCGGUCCGAUAAGUCCGCUCUGAAAGCCCGGGGCUCAACCCCGGGAGGCGGGCGGAUACUGUCGGGCUAGAGGCCGGAAGAGGCAAGGGGAAUUCCUGGUGUAGCGGUGAAAUGCGUAGAUAUCGAGAGGAACACCUGCGGUGAAGGCGGGUUGCUGGGCUGAUACUGACGCUGAGGCGCGAAAGCCAGGGGAGCGAACGGG